AGAGUUUGAUCCUGGCUCAGGAUGAACGCUAGCUACAGGCUUAACACAUGCAAGUCGAGGGGAAACGACAUCGAAAGCUUGCUUUUGAUGGGCGUCGACCGGCGCACGGGUGAGUAACGCGUAUCCAACCUGCCCACCACUUGGGGAUAACCUUGCGAAAGUAAGACUAAUACCCAAUGAUAUCUCUAGAAGACAUCUGAAAGAGAUUAAAGAUUUAUCGGUGAUGGAUGGGGAUGCGUCUGAUUAGCUUGUUGGCGGGGUAACGGCCCACCAAGGCGACGAUCAGUAGGGGUUCUGAGAGGAAGGUCCCCCACAUUGGAACUGAGACACGGUCCAAACUCCUACGGGAGGCAGCAGUGAGGAAUAUUGGUCAAUGGACGAGAGUCUGAACCAGCCAAGUAGCGUGAAGGAUGACUGCCCUAUGGGUUGUAAACUUCUUUUAUAAAGGAAUAAAGUCGGGUAUGCAUACCCGUUUGCAUGUACUUUAUGAAUAAGGAUCGGCUAACUCCGUGCCAGCAGCCGCGGUAAUACGGAGGAUCCGAGCGUUAUCCGGAUUUAUUGGGUUUAAAGGGAGCGUAGAUGGAUGUUUAAGUCAGUUGUGAAAGUUUGCGGCUCAACCGUAAAAUUGCAGUUGAUACUGGAUAUCUUGAGUGCAGUUGAGGCAGGCGGAAUUCGUGGUGUAGCGGUGAAAUGCUUAGAUAUCACGAAGAACUCCGAUUGCGAAGGCAGCCUGCUAAGCUGCAACUGACAUUGAGGCUCGAAAGUGUGGGUAUCAAACAGGAUUAGAUACCCUGGUAGUCCACACGGUAAACGAUGAAUACUCGCUGUUUGCGAUAUACGGCAAGCGGCCAAGCGAAAGCGUUAAGUAUUCCACCUGGGGAGUACGCCGGCAACGGUGAAACUCAAAGGAAUUGACGGGGGCCCG
rnacentral:rRNA from 1 species